CCACCACCGCACAUCACUGAUUAUUAUUAUAUGAGUUUAAUUAUUGGUGAUCUUUCAAAGUUAAAAGAAUUACAUCAGUUUUCAAACUGCCGCCAUCUUAAACCCAAAUCCUCCUUUGUCUCCGUGUUUAAAGCUUUGACCCUUGGAUGGACUGAUGGACCAAAGAGCUGAGGGAGUGUGUGGGUGAGUUUUGAAGCUAUUUCCAUCCAUCCAUCCAUCCAGCUAAUCCCAGCUGGCCAUAGGUGAAGUACACCCUGGACAGGUCACCAGUGCAUCACAGGGCCAACAUCCAGAGACCAUUCACACUCACACUCACACCAACAGACGGUUCACAGUCUCCACUCAACCUGUUCAGAGCAAUAUCACAAUUGAAACUCAUUUAAAUAAAGGCGAUAUCCAGUUUUUUAUUACAUCAAUCCUGUUGUCAUCGUUCUGGGCCAUAAUUCCCAUCGGUUACGACAACAAAAAAAUGAUCUCCAGAGAAGUGAACAUGGUGACAUUGCUUACACCGAAAUCUGAUGGUGCAAGAAGCAAGAGGAGUCACACAAGCCAACCGUUGACACCUAUGUAGAAAGAAAGGAAACAGGAAGUCAGGCACUGGGAGCCAGAUGAAGGGGCGGAGUCUACAAAAGGGGGUAGGAGGUUCACCUAGGCCUUUUUUCCUGCAUUGAGGCACACCUGAGAGAGAGAGAGAGCAUGAGGCCAUGAGGCCAGGUUUUGUUUGGUGUUUGAUUUGUUUGUUUCUUAUUUUAACUCAUUAUGCCAAGCUAAAGAUUUGUUAAAUAAGUAUUAAAAAUGGGUUUUGUAAAGAUGGUUUGUGUUUGACUUGGAGUGACUGCUGAGGCCGAUCAGUCAAGUAAUAAGCAACACCUCGGCCUUCCCAGAUCCUAGCCGCAACUCGGUAAUAGUUGGAAACGGCAUGGAAAUCAUGCCUCUGAGCAUUACAGGGCCCCACUCCGUCUGCAUGGUGCUGCAGCUGUGGGUGGAACUAUCAUUAGUAUUAGCUCUGGAGCUCCUGCCCCGACCCUCCCUGACAUCUCUGUGCAGUGUCCAACUCGGUAAUCCUGCCAAAAUAUAAAAACCUAGCGUUGACUCUUCAAGGGCAUGUCUCACUUCCUCUGGGUUCCAGCGCACCUCUGUGAGGAGCCAGAGGAAGACGAGGAGGAGGGAACAUGCAGUCAAUGAAAGUGUUGGGACCUGGGUACAUUGGAACAGAGAUUUUUGUCAGAAGAAAUGCCUUUUAGUCUGGAGAUUGUGAUUUGUUUUCAGAUGUUU